CAGCCCUGUGCAACAAGCCAGCACAGAUCCUGGGGCAUCUGAUUGCUGGGACCAGAUAAACACAGAGGCAAACUAGUGGAAUGCAGCACCCCAUGGUGUAGAACCUACCGUUUACACAUGAUGACGGAGUUACUCCUUUGGUUCAAGUGCGGCUGGCUUGCGCUUUCACUGUUGAAGAUCUCAGGUCACUGUAUCUAUAUGAUCAUUGUCCUCUGGAGGCUGAAACCGGAACAGCAAAUGCACCAGAAAGAAAACAAGGGAUGGAACAAAAGGCCAGUCCAGAGCUUAUUCAUCUGAAUUUUAGUAUUUGUUUCUUUCUUCAGAAUAUGAAACUCCCUCUCAAAAUGAUGAACUUGUUUGUACAACUGGUUGGACAAAUUCCACUGAAACCAUAGUGCAUCAGAAGAUGCGGGUCCAUCGAAACGGAAAUGCUCCAUGGAGUAAGGCUGAUUUUGUUGGAUUUUUGUUUUGGAAGAAACCUGGGGGAAAA